CUACGGGGGGCUCCAGUGGGGAAUAUUGCACAAUGGGCGCAAGCCUAACGCAGCCAUGCCGCGUGUAUGAAGAAGGCCUUCGGGUUGUAAAGUACUUUCAGCGGGGAGGAAGGGAGUAAAGUUAAUACCUUUGCUCAUUGACGUUACCCGCAGAAGAAGCACCGGCUAACUCCGUGCCAGCAGCCGCGGUAAUACGGAGGGUGCAAGCGUUAAUCGGAAUGACUGGGCGUAAAGCGCGCGCAGGCGGUUUGUUAAGUCAGAUGUGAAAUCCCCGGGCUCAACCUGGGAACUGCAUCUGAUACUGGCAAGCUUGAGUCUCGUAGAGGGGGGUAGAAUUCCAGGUGUAGCGGUGAAAUGCGUAGAGAUCUGGAGGAAUACCGGUGGCGAAGGCGGCCCCCUGGACGAAGACUGACGCUCAGGUGCGAAAGCGUGGGGAGCAAACAGGAUUAGAUACCCCUGUAGUC
rnacentral:rRNA from 1 species